rnacentral:rRNA from 1 species
UACAGAGGGUGCGAGCGUUAAUCGGAAUUACUGGGCGUAAAGCGUGCGUAGACGGUUAUUUAAGUCGGGUGUGAAAAGCCCCGGGCUCAACCUGGGAAUUGCAUUCGAGACUGAAUAGCUAGGGUACGGUAGAGGGAAGCGGAAUUUCCGGUGUAGCGGUGAAAUGCGUAGAUAUCGGAAGGAACAUCAGUGGCGAAAGCGGCUUCCUGGACCAGUACCGACGUCAGGCACGAAAGCGUGGGGAGCAAACAGG